rnacentral:tRNA from 1 species
GGUUGUAGCUCAUUGGUAGAGUACAUGCUUAGCAUGCAUGAGGUCCUGGGUUCCAUCCUCAGCACCA